UACGAAGGGGGCUAGCGUUGCUCGGAAUCACUGGGCGUAAAGCGCACGUAGGCGGCUUUUAAGUCAGGGGUGAAUCCUGGAGCUCAACUCCAGAACUGCCUUUGAUACUGAGAGCUUGAGUCCGGGAGAGGUGAGUGGAACUGCGAGUGUAGAGGUGAAAUUCGUAGAUAUUCGCAAGAACACCAGUGGCGAAGGCGGACUCACUGGCCCGGUACGUGACG
rnacentral:rRNA from 1 species